rnacentral:rRNA from 1 species
GACGAACGCUGGCGGCGUGCUUAACACAUGCAAGUCGAACGGAAAGGCCCUGCUUUUGUGGGGUUCUCGAGUGGCGAACGGGUGAGUAACACGUGAGUAACCUGCCCUUGACUUUGGGAUAACUUCAGGAAACUGGGGCUAAUACCGGAUAGGAGCUCCUGCUGCAUGGUGGGGGUUGGAUAGUUUCGGCGGUUGGGGAUGGACUCGCGGCUUAUCAGCUUGUUGGUGGGGUAGUGGCUUACCAAGGCUUUGACGGGUAGCCGGCCUGAGAGGGUGACCGGCCACAUUGGGACUGAGAUACGGACCAGAGUCCUACGGGAGGCAGCAGUGGGGAAUAUUGCACAAUGGGCGGAAGCCUGAUGCAGAAACGCUGCGUGCGGGAUGACGGCCUUCGGGUUGUAAACCGCUUUCGCCUGUGACGAAGCGUGAGUGACGGUAAUGGGUAAAGAAGCACCGGCUAACUACGUG